rnacentral:rRNA from 1 species
UGGGGAAUAUUGGGCAAUGGGCGAAGGCCUGACCCAGCGACGCCGCGUGGGUGAUGAAAGCCUUCGGGUUGUAAAGCCCUGUCAUGCGGAAAGAACGACCCUGAGACGCAUACUCUCAGGGAGUGACGGUACCGCAGGAGGAAGCACCGGCUAACUCCGUGCCAGCAGCCGCGGUAAUACGGAGGGUGCAAGCGUUGUUCGGAAUUAUUGGGCGUAAAGGGCGCGUAGGCGGUAAUGUAAGUCAGAUGUGAAAUACUCCGGCUCAACCAGAGAACAGCAUCUGAAACUGCAUAACUAGAGUAUAGAAGAGGGAAACGGAAUUCCCGGUGUAGAGGUGAAAUUCGUAGAUAUCGGGAGGAACACCAGUGGCGAAGGCGGUUUCCUGGUCUGAUACUGACGCUGAGGCGCGAAAGCGUGGGGAGCAAACAG